UUUGGUGGUCAGUCCGUCAGGAGGCUGACGCGCGUCGCAGGGAUCAAAGCCGACAGCACGCGCCGUUACUGCAGCGUCCCCUCCACAGAGAUUAAUGAGCUCGAGCCGCACUCUUUGUUUCGGCGCGCGGCCAUUUAGUGUGAAAUACAAUCCAAAAAUAUUAUCUAUCCCCAAUUAAUCCAGCAAAUUUGCUCAUACCACACAUGUUGUUUGGGCCAAUUUACAACGAUGGGGGAGGAUGUCGCGAGCGCAAUUACAUUUAAUUACUUGCCAUCUAAUUGCGUUCAUUAAAAGCUAAUAAAAUAAAUGAGUGGAGCAGCUUUAAAAUCUCAGAGUCUUGUACUCUUUGGUGUGAAAUAUAUCUGUGGGAUUUCAGGGGCGGCAGGGACAUGACGGAGAGAAUUUCCCAGAGAACACUGCAGCCAUUUCUGCUUAAAUCCAUGACAGUCAGAAAGAGCUCAGCAGCAUCACGCGUGGCUUCACUGGACCGAAUAUAAUUACCACCACCCGGCUUGUGAGAGGAAUACAACACCAACAACAGCACAAGCUGAAUCCUGAACGCUGCUACACUCCCACAGAAAUUACAAGAAUGUUGCGCUAACCUUCUCUGAACGCUCAGGAUGUCAUGUUUUAAAAAUGUGUUUCUAGGUUAUGUGAAAAUUUGAGGGAAUUUUCUUGGGUGAUUUGGCCAAAAAUAUUAUUACAAUUAUUUUUUCCCCCAUCAUUAUCAUAUAAUAUUGAUAUUUGUCAUGGUAUUCAUUUACCAUUUAAGCAGAAGUAAAUGCUCCACAGACUAAGAACUCUUGUAAUUUAGGGGCCCAAGAACUCCAUUUUAUUUUCCCCUAAUUCUGUUUUCAAUUUUACUUCUUCUGGAUCAAAUUUAUCAUCAAAAUAUGUCUAUUGAAAUUAAGUAAUACAACUAAAAAUGUUAUCCGUUUUUACAAAAAAAAAAAAAAAAAAAAAAAAUUAUUUAAUUAAUUAAUUAAAUAUAAAUUAAAACAUGAGUCAAAAGAUAUCUUGGUUGCAUGAUAUUCCCUAAAAUAUAAUAAUAAUAAUUAUAAUUAUAAUUAUAAUAAUAAUGCGAACAAACAGAUCUUAAAGAGAGAAACAGAAAGCAUUUUAGGAAAAAUAACAUUUUAAUUAAAAAAGGCUAAAUUUAGACUGAAUAUAGCUAUUAUUGUUAUUACUUUGAGAUUUACAUUUUAGCAUACAAUGUUAAAAUAUUUCUGUCAUAAUGUCUUUUAUUGUGUGUGUCUGACAGUGGUUUAGUGCAGCUCUGGAUAUGAAGUUCAUGUGUU
ensembl:lncRNA